AUCCUUUAAAAAUUGCUUCGUUGAUGAGUUGUGCUCCUGUCUGGAUAAGACAUAUUCAAAAAAAGGUCCUGGCUGGGAUAGCUUUUGUCAGCUCCCUACGUAUUGAUGUGUUAUAGCUGGACUGCGGAGCUUUCAUGUGAUGGAGGCAGAAUUUCUUACUACUACUACUCCCCUUCUCUCAAAGUUCCUUACACAACUUGACCAACGCACUGAGCAGCUCAUGAAAGUGUUGAACAAAGGAGGCUCUGCAGGGAGGAAAAUCAGGAUCAUUAUGGCCCCAAUGACAAAGGAAGCCGAGGGAGCUUGAGAAGUCACCUUUGGUAUCUACAGCAUCGAUGUUAAGGGAGGUGAUACCGCCACUCCUCCAGCCGAUGUUGGAAUUGUGAUUCAGCGUGUUGAAGUUCUGCACGACUUGAGAGACUUUGCCUCUGCAUGUGCCCUGAGUUAUCCUAACAGACUGAAAGCCUUCUUUGAAGUACUUCAAAAGUUCUUCCUUCAAAUGGAUGCUUGCAGACUCUCAACCAAGGUACAGCUGCUCAUUAACUAACUGUACAAAUGAGACAAUCACUGAUUUGGAUGCUGAAUGUUUCAUUGAACAGGAGAAAUAUUUAGGGCCGAAACUGAAAAAAAUUAUCUGUUUGAAAAUAGAGCAGAGAAACUACACUUGAGGAAAACGACCAAUUUCUUUGCAAACUUUUGAAAAACUUAUCAUACAGGAAAAGUGGUAGUUGAGUGGCACUACUAGAGAAGUGAUGUAGAAUUGAGAGACCAUGCUGCGCAAAAACGGUUGAUAUACAACUAUGGCUAUUUUGUGGAUGUUUUAACACUAAGCUGCAUCAAAAACAACUGCAAGGAAGUUCAAUCAUCAGACCAUCUUAACCAUCGUUAAAGAAAUCCUACUUUAGAGUAGAUGUUUGUUAAAGUGUUGCCACUGAAAACUUUAUUUUAGA